GACGUAGGGGGCCAGCGUUGUUCGGAAUUACUGGGUGUAAAGGGUUCGUAGGCGGUGUGGCAAGUUGGGAGUGAAAUCUCUGGGCUCAACCCAGAGGCUGCUUCCAAAACUGCUGUGCUUGAGUGUGAGAGAGGCUCGUGGAAUUGCAGGUGCAGCGGUGAAAUGCGUAGAUAUCUGCAGGAACACCCGUGGCGAAAGCGGCGAGCUGGAUCACUACUGACGCUGAGGAACGAAAGCUAGGGGAGCAAACAGG
rnacentral:rRNA from 1 species